AUGGCGGCGGCGAGCCCGCCGGCCGAGGCGAAGGGCGACCGUCUGAUGGCUCAGGCGCGGCGGGAGCUCACGGGGUUCUGGUCCUGCCUGUUGCCCGCCAGCGCCACCUACUCGUACGCCGCCGGCUUCUUCGAGGAGGCCGCCAAAGCCUAUCGCCUCGCCAAGAAUUCUCGGGAGAAAAGCCGCGUUGGCACAUCACGAAUAUGGCACAUGGGUCGAGAUUGUAGGCUGGCAGCUGCGGUGGUGCUAUGGGAAUCAGCGGAAUGCCACAUGCGGGAUUUCGACCCGGACGACGAGCAAACCGCACGCACCAUUGAGAGCGACCUGAAGAGGUCGGUGCGCAUGCUCGUCCUGGAGAACCAGCCGCAGCUGGCGGCGUCCGCCUGCGAGGAGCUAGCCCGGAUGUACGUGGCGCGGAGGCGGUGGACGGAGGCGAGGGAGUGGUACGAGCGAGCCGCGGGGUACUACGCCGACACCGGGGAGCCGUACUGCAUCCAGCUCUGCAGGCCCAGGGCUCUACAGGAAGCCGUCUCCGCCGCCGUCAGAGGAGCAGUAGCAGUAAUGUUAGGCCCUGUUCAGAUGCCAUCCUAAAAUUUUUCAC
rnacentral:lncRNA from 1 species